rnacentral:siRNA from 1 species
UCGGAUAAUGUCUUUGGAUCCGG